UGAACUGGCAAUGGCUGCGUAAGCUGAGCUAACGCUCGCUUAUGCUCCUUCGAUGGCUGGAGCCCGCCCGGGGCGCUGCCCAUCGAAUCGCAAAUCUGGGCUAGCUGGUCGUGUCGCUCCGAUGCGUCCGGCGAGAUCUUCAGGAGAUAGGCCUCGGAGAGGUCGGUUCGAUACCACUCCGAAGUGACGGCAAAAAGUCGAGCCUACACACGUAGACGCGGUUCUGGAAGCUCACUCGGACCAGGGUUCGAUUCCCUGCGCCUCCAUUA
rnacentral:tmRNA from 1 species